rnacentral:rRNA from 1 species
CCCUUAGAUGUUCUGGGCAGCACGCGCGCUACAAUGGUCUUCGCAAACGGAUGCAUUCUCGAAGGAGAAUGCCAAUCUUGGAAUCUAUGCCUUGGUCGGGACAGUUGCUUGCAAUUUUUCGACUCGAACCAGGAAUUCCUUGUAAUCGUGAUUCAUCACAUCACGAUGAAUACGUCCCUGCCCUUUGUACACACCGCCCGUCGCUACUACCGAUUGGACGGUUUAGCGAGGCCCUCGGAUCGGUACCAGGACUCCGUCAGGAGUGACUGGCAACCGAGAAGGCGGUCGAACUUGACCGUCUAGAGGAAGUAAAAGUCGUAACA